AUGGAAAACCCGGCCUGCAGGCAUCUGCACCAGCAGCCCACAGACAGGUGGAUGCAUGGCCAGGGCUGCAGCUGUGGACUCCCAGUGGCACAAAUCCCUCCAUCUGUCACCACUGAGACCUCAAUGAAAACCAACCACAUCCGGAGAUAACAUUAAACAUUUCUGACCUAAAAUGUAAAAGUCUUCAUAGCCUAUGUAAACAUUCUGGGAAUAUUAGUGAUUUUGUUAGCUAUAAAUUAAUUAAGAGAAAUUCCUGCUGAGAGAAAUCUGAAGGCUUCUGUAUAUUGUAGUAAUUGUUCUCUUAAUAGACGACACACCCCUGCCCCCCAGUGGUCAGUAUGUGGAAGUGCAUGAUGGCUGAGUUUUUACCAGAGCUUGAAGAAGUACUACUGAGAUCUUUAAACUCAUCCUGACUAUAUUUAGUAUGUUAAGGAAAAUCCUCACAGAAUAUGUUUUGUUAGAGGUGGAAACACAGAAUCUACACAUGACUAAAUCCAAAUGUUUGACUCCACAUCAAACUUUAACUGGUAGACAAAGCUGAUUUUCUUUUAAAAAGCAAAAACCAACAGCACAAAAAUAAGUUUAACAUUAAUUUGAUAUUUGAUAUUUUAAUGUUAAAUAUCAGAUUUACACUGGGUCAAACCACAUAUUAUUGAAAUUAAAGUUGUUCUGAGUCCAAUGGUACCAAACAUCCUCAAUGUUUCUUAGGUCUGCAAAAGGCAAUAGUGGACCAAGAAAAAGCAGCACUAUCUAAUCUAUAUUGAAACCAUCCACAAUAUGUGUAUAUCAGAAAUGAUGAAGAUCAACACAUUGUUCUAGAGGUAUUUUCCUGGAAAAGGAAAAAAGAAAGAAAAGGAAAAGACGCAGCCCCUUGUGACUACGAAAAGUAAUUUGUUGAGCUCAAUUUUACUAAGGACAUUAAUUGGUCAAGUAGAAGUAGAAAUACUGUUAAAAGUUACACAUUCAACAUUUUACUUAAGUACAAAACUGUUAACAUCGAAAUAUAUGCUGACUCAUCAUGCAGAAUGUCCCAUAUCAGAAUAAUCCACAUUGUUAUAAUUAUUGAUGAAUUAAUACUUUAUUGUUGCAGUUGGUGAUGUUAGAGCUCAUUUUACUGACUUUAUAUAUUGAUGGGUAUCUUGUGAAUUCCCCCUGUGGAUCAAUAAAGUCUUAGAA
rnacentral:lncRNA from 1 species